GACGAACGCUGGCGGCGUGCCUAAUACAUGCAAGUAGAACGCUGAAGAGAGGAGCUUGCUCUUCUUGGAUGAGUUGCGAACGGGUGAGUAACGCGUAGGUAACCUGCCUGGUAGCGGGGGAUAACUAUUGGAAACGAUAGCUAAUACCGCAUAAAAUGGAUUAUCGCAUGAUAAUCCAUUGAAAGGUGCAAAUGCAUCACUACCAGAUGGACCUGCGUUGUAUUAGCUAGUUGGUGGGGUAACGGCUCACCAAGGCGACGAUACAUAGCCGACCUGAGAGGGUGAUCGGCCACACUGGGACUGAGACACGGCCCAGACUCCUACGGGAGGCAGCAGUAGGGAAUCUUCGGCAAUGGACGGAAGUCUGACCGAGCAACGCCGCGUGAGUGAAGAAGGUUGUCGGAUCGUAAAGCUCUGUUGUAAGAGAAGAACGAGUGUGAGAGUGGAAAGUUCACACUGUGACGGUAUCUGACCAGAAAGGGACGGCUAACUACGUG
rnacentral:rRNA from 1 species